CCCUUAGUUAUCCUAGGUCGCACGCGCCAUACAAUGUGGCGCACAACGAGUCUCCUUGGCCGACAGGAUGUCCCGCGAGCGAUCGGCGACGCAGCCAGCUCGGUCUUCGGGCAGACUCGGUGAGAGUGGCCCGUCCUCCUGAGAGGGCGAUCGUCGAUGCCUCGGGAUUCUGGGCAAUCUGGCAGAGCGCUACGUGACUGGGCUAGACUUUUGUAAUUUUUGGUCUUGAGCGAGGAAUGCCUAGUAAUCGCAGGUCAGCAUCCUGCGAUGAUUCGGUCCCUGCCCUUUGUACACACCGCCCGUCACUCCAUCCGUGGCAUGCGCCGGUGAAGAGGGGGAGGCAGCGUCGGCCGUGUAACAGCGGAUCGUACGUGGAACCCCUCUGAACCUUCGCACGUAGAGGAAGGAGAAGUCGUAACA
rnacentral:rRNA from 1 species